rnacentral:misc_RNA from 1 species
AAGUCGUAACAAGGUUUCCGUAGGUGAACCUGCGGAAGGAUCAGCACCACGUACCCCUGUGAACUUUUAUACUUGCUCUCUAGCCCGCCAUUGCAAUCCUUGGUAUAUCAUUGUUGAACAGAUUUUGAUUCAGGGACCUCAGUCUGGUAGGCGAAGAUCGAGCGAUCGUUGCAAGUGGCCUGGUUUCCCCAAGCAGUCAGUGUCUGGAAGUGUCAUUGAUUGUGUAAGGAUAACGCUUUUCGAUCACUAGAGGCCGAACACCGGCCGGUGACCAGGUCGCCGUGGCUUCGGCCCCCUAUAUUAACCCCACUACCUGAACUCGCCUCGUAGGAAACUGCUGGGCAACAAAACGAACAACUGUUAACAAUGGAUAUCUUGGUUCUC